rnacentral:rRNA from 1 species
UCAAGAAACUUCCACAAUGGGCGAAAGCCUGAUGGAGCGACGUCGCGUGAUGGACGAAGUGCUUCGGCACGUAAACAUCUUUUAUGUGGGAUGAAAUUAUUGACAGUACCACAUGAAUAAGGGGCUCCUAACUCUGUGCCAGCAGGAGCGGUAAUACAGAGGCCCCAAGCGUUAUCCGGAAUCACUGGGCGUAAAGGGUGUCGAGGCGGUUGUAUUAGUCGUUCGUAAAAUCUACGAGCUUAACUUGUAGGCGGCGAACGAAACGGUACGACUUGAGGUUUGGAGAGGUGCGUGGAACUCACGGUGUAGGGGUGAAAUCCGUUGAUAUCGUGGGGAACACCAAAGGCGAAGGCAGCGCACUGGCCAAAUCUGACGCUCACACACGAAAGCUAGGGUAGCGAAGAGGAUUAGAUACCCUAGUAGUCCCUGAGCGGGCUGGCAAGGCGCAU